CGGUGGAGCAUGUGGCUUAAUUCGAAGCAACGCGAAGAACCUUACCAGGUCUUGACAUCCCUGACAACCCGAGAGAUCGGGCGUUCCCCUUCGGGGGACAGGGUGACAGGUGGUGCAUGGUUGUCGUCAGCUCGUGUCGUGAGAUGUUGGGUUAAGUCCCGCAACGAGCGCAACCCUCGACCUUAGUUGCCAGCAUUCAGUUGGGCACUCUAAGGUGACUGCCGGCUAAAAGUCGGAGGAAGGUGGGGAUGACGUCAAAUCAUCAUGCCCCUUAUGACCUGGGCUACACACGUGCUACAAUGGGCGGUACAAAGGGUCGCGAACCCGCGAGGGGGAGCCAAUCCCAAAAAGCCGCUCUCAGUUCGGAUUGCAGGCUGCAACUCGCCUGCAUGAAGCCGGAAUCGCUAGUAAUCGCGGAUCAGCACGCCGCGGUCGAAUACGUUCCCGGGCCUU
rnacentral:rRNA from 1 species